AGAGUUUGAUCCUGGCUCAGAAUGAACGCUGGCGGCGUGCUUAACACAUGCAAGUCGUGCGCGAAGGUGGCUUCGGCCACCGGAGAGCGGCGAACGGGUGAGUAACACGUGAGCAACCUACCCUUGACUCUGGAAUAACAGUUGGAAACAGCUGCUAAUACCGGAUAUGACCUCUUCCGACAUCUGGAGAGGUGGAAAGCUCCGGCGGUCAAGGAUGGGCUCGCGGCCUAUCAGCUUGUUGGUGAGGUAACGGCUCACCAAGGCUUCGACGGGUAGCCGGCCUGAGAGGGCGACCGGCCACACUGGGACUGAGAUACGGCCCAGACUCCUACGGGAGGCAGCAGUGGGGAAUAUUGCACAAUGGGCGAAAGCCUGAUGCAGCAACGCCGCGUGCGGGAUGACGGCCUUCGGGUUGUAAACCGCUUUCAGUAGGGACGAAGCUAACGUGACGGUACCUACAGAAGAAGGACCGGCCAACUACGUGCCAGCAGCCGCGGUGAUACGUAGGGUCCGAGCGUUGUCCGGAAUUAUUGGGCGUAAAGGGCUUGUAGGCGGUUUGUCGCGUCGGAAGUGAAAACUCAGGGCUUAACCCUGAGCCUG
rnacentral:rRNA from 1 species